CUUGAAUCCAAGGAGUGUUAGUGCUCACUAAACCACGGUGUAUUGUUUGCAUAGCUUUGACAAAUGUAUUUCAUUAACUUUUCAUGGCUCUUUCUUUGAUGAACUUCAAAUAAUAACACUUAUGAAUUCAAGAAAUCUGUAUUUUAUUUAUAUAUCUACAUAGAAACUAUUGUUUUAGAUCUUUCUAACCUUACAUACAGUGUACCAUUUCAAACUUUUCCUUUCUACCUUAAAACUAUAAGCAACAACAUGUA
rnacentral:lncRNA from 1 species